rnacentral:lncRNA from 1 species
ACAAGAAAAGUACUGAUCUUCAGUCUGCCUGAUCUUACAUGGGAUUCCUAACAGGCUGGCUAGGAAUGGUAUUGAAGAAAGUAGAGACUAGAACCGUUAUUGGCAUUGUAAGGUGUCGGUCUUCAGUUCUUGAUUUUAUUCUAUUCAAUCUCAACUGUCUUGCAGAAAACAUUCUCGUUUGCUCUGAAAUAAGCUUGACCAUUUUUAUUGCUGAUGUAUAUUUUUUGCCAAUUCCUGACAGGACCAACAACAAAAAGAAACUCCAACAUUUGUGCCUGUGUGAAACACUCUCUGGGAAAAAAAUUAGGGUUUUCCAACCUCUAAAAUCACACCCAUAAAUCAUAGAGAAAACUAGUUUUUAAAAUAGUAGCUAAAAUGAAACUUAAACCAAAUAAAAUUAUCUGAAAAUAACUAGAAAAAAAAUUGAAACAACAUCUUCUCAAUCUAAUUUAUCUUAACUAGUCAUGGUGAGUCACGCGAUUCAUUAAAGAACUAGAUUUAGAAUUAAUCGCAGCAUGGUCUAGCAAUUGAAUUAAAAAUUAUCCAUUAUUAUCAAAAAGCUGAUUUGACUAAUACAUGAUAGGCAGCCCGCAUCAGUCACGAAUGAUAGAGGAUCUGGUGAGGUGCGCCUUGUCUGUGAAGGUUUCAUUUUCAUACCUGGAAUUGGAGAAUUAGAGAUUAGACGGCAAUAAAGAAACCUGAAGGAAGUAGCAGGUGUGGCAGCAGCUAGCCAAGCUCCUAGUACGAAUUAUUCCUCGCAAAUAUGCUGCGAAUGG